AUGUCCCUUAAAACGAAGAAAGUUUUACCCUGUGGUUUACGUGCAUGUGGCAUGAACUGGAGGUGUCCAUCAAUCCUGUUUACUGCUCCCAGACAUCCCAGGAGGUGUCAAUCAAUCAAUCCUGUUUACUGCUCCCAGACAUCCCAGGAGGUGUCAAUCAAUCAAUCCUGUUUACUGCUCCCAGACAUCCCAGGAGGUGUCGAUCAAUCAAUCCCACUUACUUCUCCCAGACAUCCCCAGGUGGUGUCAAUCAAUGAAUCCCACUUACUGCUCCCAGACAUCCCAGGAGGUGUCAAUCAAUCAAUCCCACUUACUGCUCCCAGACAUCCCAGGAGGUGUCAAUCAAUCAAUCCCACUUACUGCUCCCAGACAUCCCAGGAGGUGUCAGGUGUCAGUCAAUCCUGUUUACUGCUCCCAGACAUCCCAGGAGGUGUCAAUCAAUCAAUCCUGUUUACUGUUCCCAGACAUCCCCAGGAGGUGUCAAUCAAUCAAUCCCACUUACUGCUCCCAGACAUCCCAGGAGGUGUCAGUCAAUCAAUCCUGUUUACUGCUCCCAGACAUCCCAGGAGGUGUCAAUCAAUCAAUCCUGUUUACUGCUCCCAGACAUCCCAGGAGGUGUCAAUCAAUCAAUCCCACUUACUGCUCCCAGACAUCCCAGGAGGUGUCAGUCAAUCCUGUUUACUGCUCCCAGACAUCCCAGGAGGUGUCCAUCAAUCCUGUUUACUGCUCCCAGACAUCCCAGGAGGUGUCAAUCAAUCAAUCCUGUUUACUGCUCCCAGACAUCCCAGGAGGUGUCAGUCAAUCCUGUUUACUGCUCCCAGACAUCCCCAGGAGGUGUCAAUCAAUCAAUCCCACUUACUGCUCCCAGACAUCCCAGGAGAUGUCAAUCAAUCAAUCCCACUUACUGCUCCCAGACAUCCCAGGAGGUGUCAAUCAAUCAAUCCUGUUUACUGCUCCCAGACAUCCCAGGAGGUGUCAAUCAAUCAAUCCUGUUUACUGCUCCCAGACAUCCCAGGUGGUCUUGCUGUUGGGAGGGGCCGUUGGAUGGGUUCUGUAUGGUGGAGCACGGGCAGAAGUGACACCUGCCAUUUCUAG
rnacentral:lncRNA from 1 species